CUUGACAUUUGUGACUCUUUACCUAUUUAAUUGAAGGACCCCAAGGCCCCAGGCCCAACAUUAGGAAAACUAACCCCUGUGCCCUGAAGCUGCAAGAUGUUCCAUAUAGAUAACCCCGGAAGGGCCAAACUUGAGCAAACAGGGUAAAAACAGGAACUAAAAGGACAGGAUGCAAUUUUAUGGUUUUUCUGAGAACUAAAGUGGAAAAACAAGUUUACCCCCCUAGGUGACUCAACUGCUGAAUUCAGAGGGACCAAUAGGAAGGCUGUUGCUGUGCUAAGCUAAGACCUAACCCACCUGUUCCCUAUAAAAGA
rnacentral:lncRNA from 1 species